rnacentral:rRNA from 1 species
GAUGAACACUAGCGGCAGGCUUAAUACAUGCAAGUCGAGGGGCAGCAGGACUGUAGCAAUACAGUUGCUGGCGACCGGCAAACGGGUGCGGAACACGUACGCAACCUUCCUUUAAGUGGGGAAUAGCCCAGGGAAACUUGGAUUAAUACCUCGUAACAUUAUGAGAUGGCAUCAUUUUAUAAUUAUAGCUCCGGCGCUUAAAGAUGGGCGUGCGACUGAUUAGGUAGUUGGCGGGGUAACGGCCCACCAAGCCUUCGAUCAGUAACUGGUGUGAGAGCACGACCAGUCACACGGGCACGGAGACACGGGCCCGACUCCGACGGGAGGCAGCAGUAAGGAAUAUUGGUCAAUGGACGCAAGUCUGAACCAGCCAUGCCGCGUGGAGGAUGAAGGUCCUCUGGAUUGUAAACUUCUUUUAUCUGGGAAGAAACCCAUAUUUUCUAGUGUGGUUGACGGUACCAGAUGAAUAAGCACCGGCUAACUCCGUGCCAGCAGCCGCAGUAAGAC